UACUAUAUGGAGUGGCGGAGAAUAAGAAAGGUAUCGAAGUCAAUAUGCAAGUUCUACAUGCUUGUGUGGAUAUACAUUUUCUAGGCUUUAUGAGUAAGUAUAUCCACCAUAAGUUCUUUUUACGAUGCAUCUGAGCUUGCAACUCGCAUCUUGCCAAACAUUGUUGUCCUGGCAGUUGAACCCGCCAGAUGACCUACGACUACAAGUGUACACUAAUCAUGUCCACAUCUCAAUUUAUAUCAAGAUCCGAAUUUGAUUAGCACCACAUAGGCAUUAAUAACAAAGUUCAGUAUAGUAUAUCUCUUUACAAUAUUAAUUUUAUUAUAUUUUGUACUCGUUUACCUUGAUUAAUAUUGUGUUUCUAAUAUCUUAACAGGAACAUAUCACACAUGAUGUUGUUGCGAAGAUGAAGUUAGCUAAGUAUUCUUAUGCGGAUGUGAUUGCAUGUGAGAAUGAACUUCUAAGAAAAAUCAAAGUGUUGGAUAAGCUUUGUAGUUAUCUAGAACUUUUUUGUAUUUUUUUAUUUUAAUAUUGUAUACUUUGAUUUUGUGGAAAUUAUUAUACAAGUUUUUUAUAUGAAAAUAUGUUUUGUA